AGAGUUUGAUCAUGGCUCAGGAUGAACGCUAGCGGGAGGCCUAACACAUGCAAGCCGAGCGGUAUUGUUUUUCGGAAAUGAGAGAGCGGCGUACGGGUGCGGAACACGUGUGCAACCUGCCUUUAUCUGGGGGAUAGCCUUUCGAAAGGAAGAUUAAUACUCCAUAAUAUAUUGAACGGCAUCGUUUAAUAUUGAAAGCUCCGGCGGAUAGAGAUGGGCACGCGCAAGAUUAGCUAGUUGGUGAGGUAACGGCUCACCAAGGCGAUGAUCUUUAGGGGGCCUGAGAGGGUGAUCCCCCACACUGGUACUGAGACACGGACCAGACUCCUACGGGAGGCAGCAGUGAGGAAUAUUGGUCAAUGGGUGCAAGCCUGAACCAGCCAUCCCGCGUGAAGGACGACUGCCCUAUGGGUUGUAAACUUCUUUUGUAUAGGGAUAAACCUACCCUCGUGAGGGUAGCUGAAGGUACUAUACGAAUAAGCACCGGCUAACUCCGUG
rnacentral:rRNA from 1 species